UGAAAUGAUAUAAAAGAAAUUCUCGAGUUCAAGAUAUCAAAAGAUUCAACCUGAGUUCACGAAUUCAGGUAUUGUAUAAAAGAAUCACAAUACCUUGCAGCAAUAGAAACCUGAGGAAUUCAAUCCUUCACAAGAGAAUUAUUGAAUUGGACUAUCAUAUUUUAAUUAAAAACCAAGGUCAGGAUGCUGAUCAGACAUACCUAACCCCGAGCAGGCCCCGCCAUGCUCUAUCAUUGGAUCCAAGGCACUCAUUGGCCUAACAUGACCACUCAUCUGGUCUACAUAUUUUUAUAAAAAAAACAACAAUCCAAUUCUAUAAUUCAAUAACAGGUCAACGUAUAACAACAGAACAUAAACACAAUCAAUAUCGAUGAUAGAAUAAUUCCAAAUCAAACUUUGAUAAUCAACUUUUCAUAAGCCACAAUCCAUCCUUUCAUAAAUCAUAGUUCAGGAAAUCCUUAACUAUUCAGUAUCCUCCAUUAUCGGCUAAGCAACUGAAAUUAGCCUGCUAAACCAGCUUGACAAUGGCGGGUUGAAUAAUCAAGAAGAUCCCAAGUCAUUCUAGGUUCUAACCAUCACUUACUCGACUCGACUCAUUCUUUAUUCGCUUUGCAAUACCAUUUCGACUUCCUGACGUCUUCGAGCGUACACGUCUCGUCCAAAUCCUUUACGAGAAUAAGAUAAUACUAUAGUCACUAAACAAUAUAUCGCAUAUACAUAUCACGUAUACCGAUACCCACUUAUAUACCCCUUUAAACUUAUCAGAUACCACGUAACACAUAAGCAUGCUUUGACUCUAACAUAUAGUCAAUCAUAUUCCACAUAACAUAUCACCAAUCAAUUAUC
rnacentral:lncRNA from 1 species